rnacentral:rRNA from 1 species
ACUACGGGUGGCAGCAGUGAGGAAUAUUGGUCAAUGGGCGGGAGCCUGAACCAGCCAAGUCGCGGGAGGGAAGACGGUCCUAUGGAUUGUAAACCUCUUUAGGCGGGGAGCAAUGCCGGGUACGCGUGCCCGGAGGUAGAGUACCUGCAGAAUAAGCAUCGGCUAACUCCGUGCCAGCAGCCGCGGUAAUACGGGGGAUGCGAGCGUUAUACGAGUUUAUUUGGUGUUAAGGGUCCGUAGGCGGCUUGUUAAGUAAGUGGUAAAUGGUACGGGCUCAAAUCGGGACCGCCGUUGAUAGUGGGGUACUUGAGUGGGCGAGAAGUAUGCGGAAUGCGUGGUGUAGCGGUGAAAUGCAUAGAUACCACGCAGAACUCCGAUUGCGAAGGCAGCAUACCGGCGCCCGACUGACGCUGAGGCACGAAAGCGUGGGGAUCGAACAGGAUUAGAUACCCUUGUAGUC